rnacentral:rRNA from 1 species
GGCUCGGCCUUACAAUAUAACAAACAAGUUUGACCUCAAAUCAGGUAGGAUUACCCGCUGAACUUAAGCAUAUCAAUAAGCGGAGGAAAAGAAACCAACAGGGAUUGCCUUAGUAACGGCGAGUGAAGCGGCAAAAGCUCAAAUUUGAAAUCUGGCACCUUCGGUGUCCGAGUUGUAAUUUGAAGAAGGUAACUUUGGAGUUGGCUCUUGUCUAUGUUCCUUGGAACAGGACGUCACAGAGGGUGAGAAUCCCGUGCGAUGAGAUGCCCAAUUCUAUGUAAAGUGCUUUCGAAGAGUCGAGUUGUUUGGGAAUGCAGCUCUAAGUGGGUGGUAAAUUCCAUCUAAAGCUAAAUAUUGGCGAGAGACCGAUAGCGAACAAGUACAGUGAUGGAAAGAUGAAAAGAACUUUGAAAAGAGAGUGAAAAAGUACGUGAAAUUGUUGAAAGGGAAGGGCUUGAGAUCAGACUUGGUAUUUUGCGAUCCUUUCCUUCUUGGUUGGGUUCCUCGCAGCUUACUGGGCCAGCAUCGGUUUGGAUGGUAGGAUAAUGACUAAGGAAUGUGGCUCUACUUCGGUGGAGUGUUAUAGCCUUGGUUGAUACUGCCUGUCUAGACCGAGGACUGCGUCUUGACUAG